CAGUCGCCACGGGAAUACAGAGGGUGCGAGCGUUAAUCGGAUUUACUGGGCGUAAAGCGCGCGUAGGUGGUUUGUUAAGUUGGAUGUGAAAUCCCCGGGCUCAACCUGGGAACUGCAUCCAAAACUGGCAAGCUAGAGUAUGGUAGAGGGUGGUGGAAUUUCCUGUGUAGCGGUGAAAUGCGUAGAUAUAGGAAGGAACACCAGUGGCGAAGGCGACCACCUGGACUGAUACUGACACUGAGGUGCGAAAGCGUGGGGAGCAAACAGGAUUAGAUACCCCCGUAGUCCCUGUCUCUUAUAC
rnacentral:rRNA from 1 species